AUUGGUCCCGAGGUGGCACAUGACCCAAAGGGAGCCAAUGAGUCCUCGCCUGGGAUGUGUGGAUGAGUGUGGACACAGCAGGAGAUAAGCUGUGAUAGACAAAGCUGGGCCAAGGUUAUGGCCACGUUUUCUGCAAUGUGGAGAAAGCCCAACUUGCUAUGAAAAAGAUGAAUGAAGAGUAAGCAGGAAGAGAAGAAACUGCUGGACCAGAAGCGAUGUGUGACAUGGAGCAUUGUCAUGGAGGAUGAAGUAAAGACCUUCAUGAAAGGGGACGUCCAGGGCUGCAGUCCUUUUAUACUGGAGUUAAGAUGUCUGAUGUCUUCUCUUUGGCACAAUUUCUAGUGACUAACACAGAAACUGAGGCUAAUGAUCAGGAUGUCAUGAGGACCCAGUAAAUUAAUCCACGAAGGAGUUCUUAGCACCACGCCCAACACAGAGGAAGAAUAAAUGCCCAGUGGCUUGUUGUCAUUACUAUGGACUUACCAGGUCAUCACCGCCUGAUGCCAUUAAACAUCUGGAUCAUUCAUCGCCUCCCCUUGCCCCUAGUUCUACUCCACCAACAGCACUUCACUUAGUUGGCUUCCCUGUCCCGUCACCAGGGAAUAAUACGCUGUCCAUGCUGUCAGAGUAACCUGAUCCACACAGCAGUCCUGACUAUAUGACAUUGAGCAUUUGGGAAUUCGGCGCACAGAGCAGUUUCCUGGGAGAGGUAUUAAUGAGAACCAGGGGCUCGGAGUCUGCCCAGCUCUGAGGCAAUGACAAGCCCGGGUUUCUGAGCCCUGCCUCGGGGUCAUCCUGACCUUCACCUGAGUGCCCGCUGGAAGGCUGCAUGCCUUCCACUUCCACAAGCAUG